rnacentral:lncRNA from 1 species
ACUAAUUCUUGUCCAUUCUUGUAUUAUUCACUAAUUCUUGUCCAUUCUUGUGUUAUUCACUAAUUUGAAGUUACAGAUACUUUCAUGUCCUCUUUACUUUGUUUUCUACUAAGUGAGACCAAAACGUGGCACUAUGAAACCAGAAGAUGGAACCUUAUCUGAGGACAAAAAUCCUGAUUCUGAAAAUAAAGAUAUGGCUGAAACUCUUUCCAAACCACCAGUCAGAGUUUAUGGCGAUCCUCUUCCUGUUUUACCAUCAUCUAAAUCUCUUCUGAAACCUUCCCUCAAGACGUUAGCUGUCCUUGGUCUUGCAAAGAGUGUGUCUGAGAAGCCCAACAAAUUUCUUCCUCGUGUCUCUGGAGCUGUGGAUCAGAAAGGGCAAAGAAUAUUAAAUGGACAAGUAGAAGGAGCAGAUAAGAAUGCUGAGGAAGAUUCUAUAUCCAGGAAGGAACAGCAAAGUCAGCAAUGGAAGCAAAGGAAGAUGGUGUUGGUAUUAUUGAAAAUGUGACACCAGAGCAAACAGUUAAUUACAGUUUGACUUCUGCUGGUGGAAUGCAUAAAAAUUACAGAAGUGGUAAGCUAGUGAAUCUCUGUGAGUUGUUUUCCUAUGAUUAAAUUCUAGUAUGAAAAAAAUCUGAAAGUAUGUAGAUCCAAAUAUAUUAUCCUUUUUUCGUGAAGGUAUUUUUCUGUAGCUAUCUUUCUUUAGA